GGUUCUCUAAUAACCCAAUGCAACCCCUGAAUAAACCUAGAUUGUCAGAUUUUCAAUAAUAUGGGAUAUUUUUAUUGAUAAAGGUGCUAUGUCAGUCACGCAUUCGCCAUAUAUUAGUAGAUAAAGUUCUGUUCACAUGUUCGGGUGCUAUGUGAUAUUUUAAGGUUAUGUUUAUAAUAUUUAUACUGUUUCUGUGACCAAAUCUGGGAUUUCUAAAGAAGGAAUAGGUUUUAAAACUACAUAAUAAUAGUUCAUCAUGAGUUCCAGAACAAAGAGAAUGUUGGCAUUGAUAACAGAUAAGAAUUUAUGUCUUCCUAGUGAAGGUAAGUUGUUU